AUAAUUUGGUUUCUCUUCAGAUCAUAUAAAUCUUCUGUCUUUUACUAAAGAUUUUUGUGGAGAGAGGAACACCCAAGGGUCUCUAAAUAAUUUAUAGGAAAAAAACAACAUGGGUUC
ensembl:snRNA U5 U5 spliceosomal RNA